AAUUACAAAUAAACAGAUAUUAUAGUAAUGAUACAAGUAUGUUUAGUUGCUAACAAAACAUUUUUUAAAGCAAUAGACUCAUAUUAUGUCUAAUCUUACAAUUUAUUGUAAUACUGCUCUAGCUGGUUCAUCAACCCUUCAUCAGGCUCAAGUCGAUCACAUUGACUUACAAGAGAUGUUAGUGCUUGUGAUAAUUAUUCCGUCUCUUUAGGCUCUCAGGUCAAGGGUUAUUCAGGAUCAAUCCAUCACGGUGUAUUUGAAACGAGCAAAUCGACUGUUGAAUAAGGAACACCAACGUUUAUCUGAAUGAUUUGGACUGAGAAUGGGAAAAUUCAAGGCUGAUGAAGGGUAUGUGUUGUAUGAUGAAUGUUUAAUGAGUAUUCUUGAAGGAUUCACUUGAAAUAGAGUUGAGAAUGGCGUAAAAAUAAAUCCUUUUUAUCAACAGCAAGUUGGAAGUUGAAUUGGAAAACCACAAAUAUCAAUAAUUAUCAGUUGAAAUUGAGACAAUUUAACCCAGACUUGAAUCACUGUUGGGUUUAGAAGAUUCAUUACCUUAUUACUUGAUUGAUUAUCUUAAAAUCAUGAAUAUUUUGAUCGUUUAGAGAUGAUGACAGUGAUGAUAAUUUCAGUAUAUUCAUGAGUAUGUCAUCAUUUUGCAUAAACCAAACUUGUUGACUUUCAGUAAUUUACAUGUAUGAAGCUGAAAAUGUUGGGUAAAAAAUAAAUAAAGUUCAGUAAGUUACAAUUAAGUAACAAAAUUAAAGGGUCAAAGCAAAAAUUAUUGCAUUUAAGCACACAAACUGAAAAGACUUUCCAUUGGAAAAAAUAUCUUUAACUGGAGGGAAAAUUAUGUGACUCAUUAGGGUUAACCCGUUUAGACAAAGGAUCAUUUGGGUAAAUGUUUAUUUGCGCUUGUUUCAUAUUUCUGUCUCUUCUGUUUUAUAUUAACUGUUUAAUUUAAAUUUGUUGCUUUAGUUACUUUUUAAUUGUGAGUUUAAUUGUUUAAAGUAACCUCAAAUAAUGUAGAUUGUGUCUCAUCUCUUGAAUUUGUGCCAUUUCAAAGGACCAAUUCUCAUAUGGAACAUAUUUGAAUGGUUUAUCGAUGAAACUGAAUGCUGAUGGUAUCAGAUGGGAGAUAAUGUAAUUAUGAAAAUAUUACGGACUGUGUUGAGUGAUGCAAUGAUGAGGCCAAGUGAAAAUGCAAGGUGUGUAGCCUACGGACGCAAUUUGCAACGGAUGAUGGACACUAAUAAGUGGAGCUAUUCAAUGGAAUACAGAAUUGGUGCUGAUGACGAUGAUGAUCAUCAGUUGGCUCAAUUAGCAUCAACUCAUAAUAACGAAGGCAAAAAGAUGAAGACAAAACCAAAUGGGAAAAAGGAACAGGCCAUUAAAUAUCAACACCGAUCCGUGAUGAUGAUCACGCCAAUCUCAAUUUAUCAUAACUGUUCAAUCAUUACUAUUAACAUCAGAUGGACAAAUGGAGUAUCAUGAUAAAAGAGAAACUUGUCUUUUAUUUUGUUUCUUUCCCAUUCCCUUGAAAUUCAAUCAACAUUCAAAAGCAUAAUAAUUUGAUUAAUUUAGAAAUUAUUUCACUAAUAGCUUCAGCUAACCGAACACAUUUCAUAUUAUUAACAUUAUUAAUAACAUUAAUAGAUACCAAGCCUGGAAAAAUUUCUGUUUACCCCUUUCACCCUGAUUUAUUUAUUUCUUUAUUAAUUAUCAUCGUUCUUUCAAUGAUAUUAAUGUGUUUUUAUUGAAUUAUUACGAUCUAUUAAUUAAGUACAUAUUCAAUACUCUGUUAAGACUAAUUAGUCAACUAAUUAACUUGAUACACUUGAAAUAAGGGCAUCAUUACAAUACAUGUUGAAGGGGAUAAACUCUUUUCUUUGACAUUUUUUGUUUCUCCAUUUUAAAUUGUAAUAAAUUAAUUCUCUUGAAA